GUCAGGAGAGAAUGAAUGGGCAGG
rnacentral:piRNA from 1 species